UACGUAGGGUGCAAGCGUUAAUCGGAAUUACUGGGCGUAAAGCGUGCGCAGGCGGCUAUGCAAGUCAGAUGUGAAAUCCCCGGGCUCAACCUGGGAACUGCAUUUGUGACUGCAUGGCUAGAGUACGGUAGAGGGGGAUGGAAUUCCGCGUGUAGCAGUGAAAUGCGUAGAUAUGCGGAGGAACACCGAUGGCGAAGGCAAUCCCCUGGACCUGUACUGACGCUCAUGCACGAAAGCGUGGGGAGCAAACAGG
rnacentral:rRNA from 1 species